CCUACGGGAGGCAACAGUGGGGAAUAUUGGACAAUGGGCGCAAGCCUGAUCCAGCAAUGCCGCGUGAGUGAUGAAGGCCUUAGGGUCGUAAAGCUCUUUUACCAGGGAUGAUAAUGACAGUACCUGGAGAAUAAGCUCCGGCUAACUCCGUGCCAGCAGCCGCGGUAAUACGGAGGGAGCUAGCGUUGUUCGGAAUUACUGGGCGUAAAGCGUACGUAGGCGGUUAUUCAAGUCAGAGGUGAAAGCCCGGGGCUCAACCCCGGAACGGCCUUUGAAACUAGGUAGCUAGAAUCUUGGAGAGGUCAGUGGAAUUCCGAGUGUAGAGGUGAAAUUCGUAGAUAUUCGGAAGAACACCAGUGGCGAAGGCGACUGACUGGACAAGUAUUGACGCUGAGGUACGAAAGCGUGGGGAGCAAACAGGAUUAGAUACCCUGGUAGUCCACGCCGUAAACGAUGAUAACUAGCUGUUCGGGCACUUGGUGCUUGAGUGGCGCAGCUAACGCAUUAAGUUAUCCGCCUGGGGAGUACGGUCGCAAGNUUAAAACUCAAAUGAAUUGACGG
rnacentral:rRNA from 1 species